ACUUUUCUAGUAUAACUAGUACAAAUGAUUUCCAAUCAUUUAGUCUUGGUUAAACUCCAAGGAAAAGUA
rnacentral:tRNA from 1 species